GCAUGGGGAGGCACUGGCCCAGCAGCUGCCCUGCUGGGAACUUUCCCUUCCAGGACACGAGGAAAGUUUUGUGCUGCAGCGUUCUUGGGAGCAUGGAGAAAAUUGCUCCUGCUGCUCUCUCGUUCCACCAGGCUGUGAUUUUUGAUGGCUGGAUACAGUUAGACUGAGAGCAGUCACUCAAGUUCCAUCAGCUGACGCCUGUGCUCCCAGCCUUGGAACAGCAAGGCCUGCAGGAAGGGUGGUGCUGGGCAUGGGAGCAUCCUGAGCACAGGACAGGUGUUGGAGCUGGAAGGGAAAAUCCUCUGUUUAGACAUAGUACCAAUACUGGACUAGAUAAACACGUCACUUGCUGCCUGCUCUGACUGAUCCCCAGAGCUCAUGUCCGUGAACAUCCUGGCCUGUUGGUACUUCCAGGAGACUGAAACCAAGACUGGAGAAAGAAGAAAGGGUGCUCCAUGAUGCUUGCUGAUGGAUACCUGUGAAAUGGGCAUUCAUGCAUCCUCACUUCUGCCCUCACUUGCCUUCUGCUUCCUCUUGUUCCUCUGAUGUACAGUCAGAGCAAGAGAAUUACCAGGACUUCUCCCAUGUAACUUCACUCUAAGCUUAACCAGCAGUGUUUUUACUCAGUGAACCUAUUGCAUUUUCCUUUUUUUUUUUUUUUGCAACACUGACCAGCCUGAAUUUCUCCUCAGCAGCAUAAGUUG